rnacentral:rRNA from 1 species
UACAGAGGUCCCAAGCGUUGUUCGGAUUCACUGGGCGUAAAGGGUGCGCAGGUGGGUUUGCAAGUUCGAUGUGAAAGCCCCGGGCUUAACCCGGGAAUGGCAUUGGAUACUGCAGAUCUGGAGGAUCGGAGGGGGGACUGGAAUUCUUGGUGUAGCAGUGAAAUGCGUAGAUAUCAAGAGGAACACCAGUGGCGAAGGCGGGUCUCUGGACAGUUCCUGACGCUGAGGCACGAAGGUCAGGGGAGCAAACGGG